UUUCCCCCCCCCUUUUUUCCCCCCUUUUUUUCCCCUUUUUAAGGGGGGGUUUUUGGGGGGGUUUAAAAACUUUUCCCCUUUUUUUUGGGGGAAAAAAUUUAAAAGGUUUUUUUUAAAAAAAAAGGAAAUU